AUUGAACGCUGGCGGCAGGCCUAACACAUGCAAGUCGAACGAGUGGCGGACGGGUGAGUAAUGUCUGGGAAACUGCCUGAUGGAGGGGGAUAACUACUGGAAACGGUAGCUAAUACCGCAUACCAUCAGAUGUGCCCAGAUGGGAUUAGCUCGUUGGUGGGGUAACGGCUCACCAAGGCGACGCUCCCUAACUGGUCUGAGAGGAUGACCAGCCACACUGAAACUCGGACACGGUCCAGAGUCCUACGGGAGGCAGCAGUGGGGAAUAUUGCACAAUGGGCGCAAGCCUGAGGCAGCAAUGCCGCGUGUAUGAAGAAGGCCUUCGGGAUGUAAAGUACUUUCAGCGGGGAGGCGUUAACCGAAGAAGAAGCACCGGCUAACUCCGUGCCAGCCGCCGCGGUAAUAC
rnacentral:rRNA from 1 species